UGCAGAUGUUGGCUACGACGCAGCACGUACACUUCCCAUCACUGACAGGCAGCGCUGUGAAGCUUUUCCUUAAAUAGCGGCUGUACCCGUCGGCAGCGUGGGCACUCGUGCGUGUGGGGGCUUCUCUUGCACACUCGUUCUGCUAACCUGAAAGCUCUCGCUCACUUCCUUUCUAGAAGACCUCACAGUAACCCACCUCUGAGCUGAGGAGGUUUGAGGUUUACUGUAGCUGAGAACGAUGCAGCUGCGUCUUUAUUCCUGCUACAGUAAAAUGCACUGUACGUCUGCAGAGCCUUAUCGCUUGGAUGAUCUGACCACGAUGGGUCCAUGGCCAGUGUGUCUGGUUCUGCUGCUACCACUGACCAUGUGCUCCGACAGAGAAGCUACUAUUGUUCAAAGAGCAGUGGGAGAACACUUUGUGACUCCACUGUGCUCCAACGCUACAAAGCAAAACGACAAGAUAGAAGUUGUCGUUCUGGUAACGUGCAGCAUCAGGAGACUGAGCAGCAGAGAAGACUGUCGUCUGCUGUAUCGUCAUGAAAAAGGCUUUGAACAUGGAUGUGGCUCCAGGUUCAGACUCAAAGCAGAGAAUCACACUAUACUUCUCCAUCUGACCAGUUUAACAGCAGAGGACAGUGGGAACUACUCCUGUGAAUGUUCACGUCUUAGUGGAACAAUUAGGCUUCAAUUCAAUGUCACUGUGGAAGAGAACGAAGACCUCAGCACAGAUGACAACUUUGAAGUGCAGCAAACACUGGUUAUUAUUCUGGUAAUAACCAGUGUUUGCUGUGUAGCUGUAUUCAUCAUUAUAACUGGAUUGUUCCUGAGAUGUUGCUUUAGGAGAUCGUCACAAAGACUAACUGUUCUUCCAAACACGGAGCUAGAGGAACCUGAGCCAUAUGACACCUUUAUACAAAGAGAGAAUGAACUUUAUUCAGAUGUUGUAAUGACACAAAUGUACAUUUAGGAACACAAUUUAAACUUUAUAGUUCCUUCCAUGUAAAGCCGUUUUCCUAGAACAAAAUAAUGGAUAAGGUUUUAUUGAAAGUGUGUCUCAUUCUAAAAUGAGUCUGAAAGAAUAAAGAAACAUUAAUGUAGAGCCUGCA
rnacentral:lncRNA from 1 species